rnacentral:rRNA from 1 species
UUUGAAAUCUGGCUCUUUUAGGGUCCGAGUUGUAAUUUGUAGAAGAUGCUUUGGGUGUGGUCCCGGUCUAAGUUCCUUGGAACAGGACGUCAUAGAGGGUGAGAAUCCCGUAUGUGACUGGUGACCUUCGCCCGUGUAAAGCUCUUUCGACGAGUCGAGUUGUUUGGGAAUGCAGCUCAAAAUGGGUGGUAAAUUUCAUCUAAAGCUAAAUAUUGGCCAGAGACCGAUAGCGCACAAGUAGAGUGAUCGAAAGAUGAAAAGCACUUUGGAAAGAGAGUUAAACAGUACGUGAAAUUGUUGAAAGGGAAGCGCUUGCAACCAGACUUGCAGGCUGUCGAUCAUCCGGUGUUCUCACCGGUGCACUCGGCAGCUUUCAGGCCAGCAUCGGUUUGGGUGGUUGGAUAAAGGCCUUGGGAAUGUAGCUUCUUUCGGGGAGUGUUAUAGCCCUCGGUGCAAUGCAGCCUACCUGGACCGAGGACCGCGCUUCGGCUAGGAUGCUGGCGUAAUGGUUGUAAGCGACCCGUCUUGAAACACGGACCAAGGAGUCUAACAUCUAUGCGAGUAUUUGGGUGUUAAACCCAUAUGCGUAAUGAAAGUGAACGGAGGUGAGAACCCUUUAGGGUGCAUCAUCGACCGAUCCUGAUGUCUUCGGAUGGAUUUGAGUAAGAGCAUAGCUGUUGGGACCCGAAAGAUGGUGAACUAUGCCUAAAUAGGGUGAAGCCAGAGGAAACUCUGGUGGAGGCUCGCAGCGGUUCUGACGUGCAAAUCGAUCGUCAAAUUUGGGUAUAGGGGCGAAAGACUAAUCGAACCAUUGUCGGCGGGCACGGGGAUGUACCGCGAGUAGUUGCUGGCACGGUACCCACCGUGCUAGCAGAGUUAUAAGCGCAUCUUCUUUUUGGCCUACUAGGUGGUUAAGAGAUAACCAGAAAGUUAUUUAGUAGCGGAAGCUGCGACACUAUCAAAUUGCGGGGACGUCCUGUUAAUAUGUAACUACUGCAGCUGUAGCGAAAGCUACAGCGCGCACCGGGUUAACGACCUAGGGGAUAGUAAUAACGUUACAUAGUAGGAUAACCUGCAGCCAAGCCCUGUUAGAUGGGUGCAGUUCACAGACUAAAUGUUAGUGGGUGGUAUGAUCCCAAGGUACUUGGCAUCCUACUGCUUAAGUUAUAGUCGAAACCUUUAGGUAACUAGAGGGGAGAAUCUACGCCAGUUGUUACCCCUUGAGCCUUGGUGCGACGUGGACGGUUAGUUGGUAUGA